rnacentral:tRNA from 1 species
GCCGGAAUAGCUCAGUUGGGAGAGCGUUAUACUGAAGUUGUUUACGCAACGGUCAUCUAAAGGCACCCCGGUUCAAUCCCGGGUUCCCGUA